rnacentral:rRNA from 1 species
AGAGUUUGAUCCUGGCUCAGGACGAACGCUGGCGGCACGCCUAACACAUGCAAGUCGAACGGAGAUGAUUUGAGUUUACUUAGAUCAUCUUAGUGGCGGACGGGUGAGUAACACGUGAGCAACCUGCCUUUGAGAGAGGGAUAGCUUCUGGAAACGGAUGGUAAUACCUCAUAACAUACAGAUACCGCAUGGUGACUGUAUCAAAGAUUUAUCACUCAAAGAUGGGCUCGCGUCUGAUUAGAUAGUUGGUGAGGUAACGGAUCACCAAGUCGACGAUCAGUAGCCGGACUGAGAGGUUGAACGGCCACAUUGGGACUGAGACACGGCCCAGACUCCUACGGGAGGCAGCAGUGGGGAAUAUUGCACAAUGGGGGAAACCCUGAUGCAGCGACGCCGCGUGGAGGAAGAAGGUCUUCGGAUUGUAAACUCCUGUUGUUGAGGAAGAUAAUGACGGUACUCAACAAGGAAGUGACGGCUAACUACGUGCCAGCAGCCGCGGUAAAACGUAGGUCACAAGCGUUGUCCGGAAUUACUGGGUGUAAAGGGAGCGCAGGCGGGCGAUCAAGUUGGAAGUGAAAUCCAUGGGCUCAACCCAUGAACUGCUUUCAAAACUGAUUGUCUUGAGUAGUGCAGAGGUAGGCGGAAUUCCCGGUGUAGCGGUGGAAUGCGUAGAUAUCGGGAGGAACACCAGUGGCGAAGGCGGCCUACUGGGCACCAACUGACGCUGAGGCUCGAAAGUGUGGGUAGCAAACAGGAUUAGAUACCCUGGUAGUCCACACCGUAAACGAUGAUUACUAGGUGUUGGAGGAUUGACCCUUUCAGUGCCGCAGUUAACACAAUAAGUAAUCCACCUGGGGAGUACGACCGCAAGGUUGAAACUCAAAGGAAUUGACGGGGGCCCGCACAAGCAGUGGAGUAUGUGGUUUAAUUCGACGCAACGCGAAGAACCUUACCAAGUCUUGACAUCCUGCGACGAUGCUAGAAAUAGUAUUUUCCUUCGGGACGCAGAGACAGGUGGUGCAUGGUUGUCGUCAGCUCGUGUCGUGAGAUGUUGGGUUAAGUCCCGCAACGAGCGCAACCCUUAUGGUCAGUUACUACGCAAGAGGACUCUGGCCAGACUGCCGUUGACAAAACGGAGGAAGGUGGGGAUGACGUCAAAUCAUCAUGCCCUUUAUGACUUGGGCUACACACGUACUACAAUGGCGUUAAACAAAGAGAAGCAAGACCGCGAGGUGGAGCAAAACUCAGAAACAACGUCCCAGUUCGGACUGCAGGCUGCAACUCGCCUGCACGAAGUCGGAAUUGCUAGUAAUCGCAGAUCAGCAUGCUGCGGUGAAUACGUUCCCGGGCCUUGUACACACCGCCCGUCACACCAUGGGAGCCGGGGGGACCCGAAGUCGGUAGUCUAACCGCAAGGAGGACGCCGCCGAAGGUAAAACUGGUGAUUGGGGUGAAGUCGUAACAAGGUA